rnacentral:rRNA from 1 species
CGCCUGUUUAACAAAAACAUUUCUUACUGCUUUUAUUGUAAGUAACACCUGCUCAAUGAAUUUUAAAUAGCCGCGGAAAUUUAACCGUGCUAAGGUAGCAUAAUCAUUAGCCUCUUAAUUAGAGGCUUGUAUGAACGGUGAAACAUUUCAACUUCUUUAUUAAUUAAUUUUUUUUAAAUUUAAAUUAAGAAUAAAAAUGUUCUUAUAAAAAAAUUAGACAACAAGACCCUUUUGAACUUCACUUUUGUUUAACUGGGGCAGUUAAAAAAUAAAAAUCUUUUUUAAAUUCUUUUAAUAAAGGAACCAAUAUAAUUGAUUAUAUGAACAAGUUACCAUAGGGAUAACAGCGUAAUAUUUUUUUAAAGCUCUUAUUAAAAAAAAUGAUUACGACCUCGAUGUUGAAUUAGUGUAACUUUAUAGAUGCAGUAAUUUUAAAAGUAGGUCUGUUCGACCAUUAAAACACUACGUGAUCUGAUUCAGACCGGAUACGACCUCGAUGUUGGAUCAGGACAUCCCAAUGGUGCAGCCGCUAUUAAAGGUUCGUUUGUUCAACGAUUAAAGUCCUACGUGAUCUGAGUUCAGACCGGA